CGCCCCUUCUCCUACUCGACCAUUUUGUGUGAUGAAAACGAGGAUAAUGAUCAAGGGACGACAACUCUAAUUUAAUAGAGUUCACACUAAGUGUUUUUAAAAUAUAAUGGUACUUAAGAUAGUUAUUUGUGAUACGUUCUACAUGGUUUAAAUUUUCAAAUACAUUGUUAUUGGUAUUUUUAAAGCUUUCUUCGGUGUAUUUCGGUCGCUGUAGUUCACACAAUUUUUGUUGUUGGGAUACUGAAGAUUUGACUGAUUUCAUUUUUUCAUUAGUGGGUAUUAUCAGAUGAUUUAAUCGAUGUUUAUAUCUGUAAUAAUUGAUAUUAUGUUUAUGGAAAAUAAAAUCAAUUUUAAUAACAACU
rnacentral:sRNA from 1 species